rnacentral:rRNA from 1 species
UACGUAGGCAGCGAGCGUUGUUCGGAAUUACUGGGCGUAAAGAGUGUGUAGGCGGUGCUCUAAGUUCGGUGUGAAAUCUCCCGGCUUAACUGGGAGGGUGCGCCGGAAACUGGAGUGCUCGAGCGUGGGAGAGGAAAGCGGAAUUCCUGGUGUAGCGGUGAAAUGCGUAGAUAUCAGGAGGAACACCAGCAGCGAAGGCGGUGGUCUGGGCCGACAUUGACGCUGAGGAGCGAAAGCGUGGGGAGCGAACAGG